rnacentral:rRNA from 1 species
CCUACGGGUGGCAGCAGUGGGGGAUAUUGCACAAUGGGGGAAACCCUGAUGCAGCGACGCCGCGUGGGUGAAGAAGCGCCUCGGCGCGUAAAGCCCUGUCAGCAGGGAAGAAAAUGACGGUACCUGAAGAAGAAGCCCCGGCUAACUACGUGCCAGCAGCCGCGGUAAUACGUAGGGGGCAAGCGUUAUCCGGAUUUACUGGGUGUAAAGGGGGCGCAGACGGCGAUGCAAGCCAGGAGUGAAAGCCCGGGGCCCAACCCCGGGACUGCACUUGGAACUGCGUGGCUAGAGUGCAGGAGGGGCAGGCGGAAUUCGUGGUGUAGCGGUGAAAUGCGUAGAUAUCAGGAGGAACACCGGUGGCGAAGGCAGCCUGCUGGACUGCAACUGACGUUGAGGCCCGAAAGCGUGGGGAGCAAACAGGAUUAGAUACCCCAGUAGUC